CAUAAAUUCUGAGAUUCCACAAGAGCUGUUUUUAGAAGAGCCAUAGGAUAAUUCCUUAAGGCCUCUAGUUGUUCCUAAUAGACUGCCUUCCAGAAGAUCUCUAGUUUCCUGUUGGAUUGGGAUACCAUUUUCAGACUUCUGUCUCCAAAGCUGGAUUUUACUUAUGUAAGGAUAUUGUCAAGGAUAAACCCCAAG